rnacentral:rRNA from 1 species
AAAACCCGGUCGCCGUAAGUCCAAGGUUUCCUGGGGAAGGAUAAUCCUCCCAUGGGUUAGUCGAUUCCUAAGUCGAGGCCGAGAGGCGUAGGCGAUGGAAAGCAGGUUAAUAUUCCUGCACCACCAAGGAUGGCGUUGAAGCAAGCGGGGACGGAGAAGGGUAGCUCAGCAGGCUGCAUGGUUGCCUGUUCAAGCCCGUAGGCUGACUUACUAGGACCCAAUAGGGACGAACGGUGAGCCAUUAAGGCCGAGAGGUGAUGAGGUCCAGUCCUAGACUGGGGCACUGAGUAAUCCCACGCUUCCUAGAAAAGCCGCGUGCGGAGCUUCUUUUGGUGAUCGUACUGCAAACCGACUCAGGUGGACGGGGUGAAUAUCCCAAGGCGCGUGAGAGAACCCUGGUUAAGGAACUCUGCAAAUUGACACCGUAACUUCGGGAGAAGGUGUGCCGCUGGCGGUUAGUGACUUCGCGUCACGAAGCUGUUGGUGGUCGCAGUGAAAUGGCGGUUGUGACUGUUUACUAAAAACACAGGACUCUGCGAAGUCGUAAGACGACGUAUAGGGUCUGAUGCCUGCCCGGUGCUGGAAGGUUAAGGGGAUAUGUCAGCGCAAGCGAAGCAUUGAACCGAAGCCCCAGUAAACGGCGGCCGUAACAAUAACGGUCCUAAGGUAGCGAAAUUCCUUGUCGGGUAAGUUCCGACCUGCACGAAGGCAUAACAACAUCCGCACUGUCUCGACCAGGGACUCAGCGAAAUUACAUUGGGGGUGAAGAUGCCCUCUACCCGCGGAAAGACGGAAAGACCCCAUGAACCUUUACUGCAACUUGGCAGUGAUUUUCGGGUUGUUCUGCGUAGGAUAGGUGGGAGGCUUUGAAGCCGGGCUUCCGGGUUCGGCAGAGCCAACGUUGAAAUACCACCCUGAAUAAUCUGGAAAUCUAACCUGCGCCCAUGAUCUGGGCGAGGGACACUGCCUGGUGGGCAGUUUGACUGGGGCGGUCGCCUCCUAAAUUGUAACGGAGGCGUGCGACGGUUCCCUCAGGCUGAUUGGAAACCAGCCGUAGAGUGCAAACGCAUAAGGGAGCUUUACUGCGAGACUGACAAGUCGACCAGUUGCGAAAGCAGGUGUUAGUGAUCCGGUGGUACCACAUGGAAGGGCCAUCGCUCAUCGGAUAAAAGGUACUCUGGGGAUAACAGGCUGAUCGCGCCUGAGAGUUCACAUCGGCGGCGCGGUUUGGCACCUCGAUGUCGGCUCAUCGCAUCCUGGGGCUGGAGCAGGUCCCAAGGGUUUGGCUGUUCGCCAAUUAAAGCGGUACGCGAGCUGGGUUUAAAACGUCGUGAGACAGUUUGGUCCCUAUCUUCCGUGGGCGCAGGACACUUGAGAGGAGCUAUCCAUAGUACGAGAGGACCUGGAUGGACGAACCUCUGGUGCUCCGGUUGUCACGCCAGUGGCAUAGCCGGGUAGCCAUGUUCGGAACAGAUAACCGCUGAAGGCAUAUAAGCGGGAAGCUGGCCUCAAGACUAGGUGUCCCUGACGCAAGUCACUAAAGGCCCCUCGAAGACUACGAGGUUGAUAGGCUCGGUGUGGAAGCGCUGCGAGGCGCGGAGCUAACGAGUACUAAUAGGCCGUGAGGCUUGACC